GAGAAGGCGUCCAUUGUUGUCUUAGUCGCAGUCGCUGGUUGUUGCGAAUUCGCGUUCACCUGACGAGCGUUGAUCCAUGAACGGUUGCGACCUUAUGCCCCGGAUGAGGAAGGAAGAUACAUUUUCCGGUAAUAUUUCAUGGGCUCGCUCGAGAGGUGCUUCUGGAAGGACGUUCCGGACUAUGAUCGCCGAAUUCACCGCUGGUUGCAGCAGGAAGCCGGCGGUCGACGCUGUCCAGGCACGCUGCAUGCCUCGUGUUGCCUGCGCUCAGCUGCAUGCAGAAAAUGCGUGCAUGCCCUCGUAUAGGCUUGUUUACGCUCACCGCUCGCGGACAAGUUGCAGAGCUGUGAUGACCGAAUGCAGUGUCCUGUUAGCAUAAUGACACCGACGCACUCGCCUGAGCGAACCAACAUGACUUGAAGGGUGACUGGGUCAUUAGGAAAUUCGACUAACAAGCAAUUUAGUACAUCAACUGCAUAUACGAUGGUGGAUAUUCAGUGUAAAUAUUCAGCAUUCACAUUAGGCGCAUUCGGCGACUUGCGGUCGCGCGUUAACGGACUCAGCCGAGUAUAACUCAGCUCUCUUAUACCAAAAGCACGCAGCAUUGGCCUGAGUGAAACGGGCACUGCGUAAGCCCACCAGUCUGAUUAGCGGAGUGACCAGUGAGAGUAGUGGCGAUGAGUCUAGUGGUGAUCCAAGUGAGGCUAUCACCACUGGUGACCAGUGGAGAUAGCCUCGCUUGCAUGGAACCAAAAUAGCCAUGCAUUCUAUAAAGCAAGAAACAAA
rnacentral:lncRNA from 1 species